rnacentral:lncRNA from 1 species
UGCUGAAUGCCACUAAUCCUUUUGCGUAGUAGAAUGACUCGAGAGGUUGGGAAAAACUUCUCCAAAAAUGCCCAUUUCAUACUCUCCCAUGAUGUGACAGUUCCGAAGGCUAGCUCAUACAACCAAUAUUUAGCCUUUUCUAAGAGAGAAAAGGGAAAAGCCUUCAUUUUCAGAAUGCUCCCAUCAACGUUCACAGGGGUCAUGCUCGAGCAAACAACCUCAAACUCCUUCAAGUGUUUAUUAGGAUCUUCCAUGGACAUCCCAUGGAACUUAGGAAUGUGAUGCAACAAACUUGAUUUCAAUUCGAACUGGGGUAUUGGAUGCAUAGGGGAGUGGCAUUGUCUAAUCCCGAAGUGGAAAGCUCCUUGAUUAUUCGAUUGUCCACUGCCAUGUUUGGAUCUUCCUCUACAACUUGUGUCAUGGGCUCCUCUUGCUCUUCUACUUUGUCUUUUCCAAGAUCUGGUGCAGGUGGAGAUGGUUGGGAUUCUUGUUGAUUCCUUGCUCGUCUUAAAGUUCGUUCAAAAUCGUCGUCAAAAUUACAGAUGUGCUUAUGAAUAGGUUGAGAACUUUGAGUCAUAAACCACCUAAAACAAGAAAACAAGUAAAGUCAUCAACUAGGACAAAAACACAUGAAAAUAAACAAAAAGAAAUAACAAGGGAUUAGCAAAAUUGCUAAUCCCCGACAACGGCGCCAAAAAUUUGAUGCGAAUUUUUACUUAACACACAAAUUAAACCCUUUUGUAUCAAUUGUAGUAAAGAAAGUAGGGUUCGUUCUAGACCGGGGAUUAGGAGGGCUUGCUAAUAACCUCUAAACUGACUUAAAAACAUAUAAACAAAGUU